rnacentral:rRNA from 1 species
GACGAACGCUGGCGGCGUGCUUAACACAUGCAAGUCGAACGGAAAGGCCCUGCUUUUGUGGGGUGCUCGAGUGGCGAACGGGUGCGUAACACGUGAGUAACCUGCCCUUGACUUUGGUAUAACUUCAGGAAACUGGGGCUACUACCGUAUAGGAUCUCCUGCUGCAUGGUGGGGGUUGGAACGUUUCGGCGGUUGGGGAUGGACUCGCGGCUUAUCAGCUUGUUGGUGGGGUAGUGGCUUACCAAGGCUUUGACGGGUAGCCGGCCUGAGAGGGUGACCGGGCACAUGGGGACUGAGAUACGGACCAGACUCCUACGGGAGGCAGCAGUGGGGAAUAUUGCACAAUGGGCGGAAGCCUGAUGCAGCAACGCCGCGUGCGGGAUGACGGCCUUCGGGGUGUAAACAGCUUUAGCCUGUGACGAAGCGGGAGUGACGGUAAUGGGUAAAGAAGCACCGGCUAACUACGUG